UUAAAUUGAAGAGUUUGAUCAUGGCUCAGAUUGAACGCUGGCGGCAGGCCUAACACAUGCAAGUCGAACGGUAACAGGAAGCGCUUGCUGCUUCGCUGACGAGUGGCGGACGGGUGAGUAAUGUCUGGGAAACUGCCUGAUGGAGGGGGAUAACUACUGGAAACG
rnacentral:rRNA from 1 species